UACGUAGGAUGCGAGCGUUAUCCGGAUUUAUUGGGUUUAAAGGGUGCGUAGGCGGGCUUUUAAGUCAGCGGUAAAAAUUCGGGGCUCAACCCCGUCCGGCCGUUGAAACUGGGGGCCUUGAGUGGGCGAGAAGAAGGCGGAAUGCGUGGUGUAGCGGUGAAAUGCAUAGACAUCACGCAGAACCCCGAUUGCGAAGGCAGCCUUCCGGCGCCCUACUGACGCUGAGGCACGAAAGUGCGGGGAUCGAACAGG
rnacentral:rRNA from 1 species